rnacentral:rRNA from 1 species
GAAGGCAAUAUAUUAGCAUAAAGACUCGUCUUUAGCGCUAAUUGUUAAAUAUGCUAGUCCUUUCAUGAUUAUGUGAUAGGUGGUGCAUGGCCGUUCUUAGUUCGUGGAGUGAUCUGUCUGCUUAAUUGCGUUUCACUAAGGGCCCAUAAAUUCAAGGUAUGUUAGCAAAUGCUGCUCUAUUGACCCCUAAUAGGCUUAACUGUCUUUAGCGCGUGUCUCUACGAGUUCUUUAAAGCACUGCGCAUGCUGUUGGGUCCUGAAAGCAACGAACGUGACCGCAACGUCUUGUUGCCUCUCUAUAAUACCUUCUUAUUUUUAAUAAGAGUAUUUACCUGAGGCUAUUUUAAAACUAGACGGACCGCUGUUUCUUUCUUAAACCAGAGGAAGGUUGCGGCAAUAACAGGUCUGUGAUGCCCUUAGAUGUUCCGG